AUGUUUGUUACAAAGAUAUCAAGCUCUUCCAUCAGUGACCCCUCAUGGCUGGAUGACACUCACUUAUUAGAAGGGAUCAAAGCAGAGUCCAAAGCUUUCACAGCAUCAUCCACAGCCAUCAACACAGCAGCAUCCUCAUCCACGGCCAUCUACACGCAAGCAUCCUCAUCCGCGGCCAUCUACAUGCCAGCAUCCUCAUCCACGGCCAUCGACACAGCAGCAUCCUCAUCCACGGCCAUCUACACAGCAGCAUCCUCAUCCAUGGCCAUAUACACGCCAGCAUCCUCAUCCGCGCCCAUCGACACGCCAGCAUCCUCAUCCACGGCCAUCUACACGCCAGCAUCCUCAUCCACGGCCAUCGACACGCCAGCAUCCUCAUGUACGGCCAUCGACACGCCAGCAUCCUCAACUUCGGCCAUCUACUCGCCAGAGUCCUCAUCCUCGGCCAUCGACACGCAAGCAUUUUCAUCCACGGCCAUCGACACGCAAGCAUUUUCAUCCACGACCAUCUACACGCAAGCAUCCUCAUCCAUGGCCAUCUACACGCCAACAUCCUUAUCCACGGCCAUCUACACGCCAGAGUCCUCAUCGACGGCCAUCGACACGCAAGCAUCCUCAUCCACGGCCAUCUACACACCACCGUCCUCAUCCACGGCCAUAUACACACCAGUGUCCUCAUCCACGGCCAUCUACACGCCAGCGUCCUCAUCCACGGCCAUCUACACACCAUCAUCCUCAUCCACGGCCAUCUACACACCAUCAUCCUCAUCCACGGCCAUCUACACACUAUCAUCCUCAUCCUCGGCCAUCUACACACCAUCAUCCUCAUCCACGGCCAUAUACACGCCAACAUCUUCAUCCACAGCCAUCUACACGCCAGCAGCAUCAGCCACAUACACACAGGCAUCAAAGAAGUCCUCAUCCACAGCCAUAAGUCACUAUUCCUCUGCAGAACCAUGUGACUCCCCAGUGAGUAAUAUUUACAUAUGCAAAUGUAUUAACCAUAAGUUAUUAUAAUUGGAAUUAAAUUAUGCUUAUGUAUUAUUUUGUAAUUACGUUUUCUGUUUUGACAUGUUUCAGGUCGAGCUGGAGGGUUGGGUGCAACUGUGGGAAAAUUCCAAUGGUAUCCCACCAGCUGACCUCUCCUGGUUGAAGGACGACACCGAGCGAGGACUCUUUGGCCCCAUUCAGGUGUAUCGUGACAACACCGGUGUACUGAAGAGGAGUAGAGUACUAAAAUCUGACCGGAUGUGGUUUUACCCUCCAGAACCUCCAGGCUACAUUAGUGGUCCUCUGCCAACUCCACAUCUCUUUUUUCGAAGUCGCGUCUUUGUGUGGCAGCCUGUUGGAGUAUGGAAAUACUUACUGAAGUGUCCUCGGGAUGCAGAAUGUGUGGGUCAAGGAAAGGCUGUGUACCUCUACAAGUCGGGCUACCACACCAGGGUAUUUUAUAUUUUUAAUUAAAUUUGUUAAUAGUAAGUUUCCUUGCAACAGAACAAUGUAAUGAUUUGUUUUUAUGCAAAUACACCUGCAGAUUAAAUCAAACAAUGCACUGCUGCUUUUAGAUAGCAUAUUAAACUUUUUUGUUUUUUAAUAUUGCAGGUUUGUCAUAUUUGUGAUGUAUCCAGCUGGUAUUGUAUGCUGACGGAGGUCCUGUGCUGUGGCCAUUGCAGAAAAGCAGGUCGUGGCAGUGGCAACGUGGGGCAUUGGUUGGCAUGGGAUCCUGCUAUCCUGUGCCAACUCAGUGAGGCUCACCAAGCCAUGUUCCCUGCUGUCCUCACAGACACGUGAGUACACUAAACAUUGGUGUAAAACUAACAUGCCUUGAUUUAGUUGCACUAGCCACCAUCGUACGGUGGCCGAGAGAGCUCAAUGUGCUGCAAAUAAAAAAAAAAAUGCAUGCA
ensembl:lncRNA